AGCCCAGUGGUGUAGUGGCAAUCAUGCCAGGCUUUGGACCUGGCGACCCCCGUUCGAAUCGGGGCGGGGCUA
rnacentral:tRNA from 1 species